AUGGGAGUUCCCCCCUUUGGAGGCAUCUUCCAAGAUGUCCAUCAUUCUGUCUGGUCCUCCGUCUUUGAUCCGCACCAUUUGCCACUGAGACAUCAUCCUUCCUGUCUGCCUAGUCCUUUCAGGUACAGUGGCCCGCUUUCUGUUACAUCCAUGUCCCAUGUAGGGCACGUGCAUAAUUCUGCUCCUCACUGCCAAGCAGAGGCACUCAGUGCAAGGCUGUUUAAAGCCUGGGCAGCGUAAUCUCCCCUCCCAGUCCUUUCUCCUCUAAUGUCGUGUUGCUACCCCAAGGCUCAGGUACAGCCUUUUUUGUCCCCACUUAGGUUACUCCUGUUUCUGUGGGUCUUUACUGCUUCCCUGCUGCUCUGUGAAUUAGGCUACGGGGCCUGUCUUUGGGGAUUUCUCAAUGUCUAUACUCUUCUUACUUCCCUGCAACGUCUUCUUCCUUAGUCUGGAAAAAUUUCUUUUUGGUCUCAUGGUAGCUUGGGGUGGGGUGCUCGGGAGGUGAGACUGAGUGUGGCUCUGUCGAGUUGUAUUUCUCCCAAAUAUUUUAUCUAUGUAUGGAACCUUCUCUAUUUCCCUAAUGGCUCACAUUUUUAGAGAUCAAGUUCAGAAAGACUCCUUUUUUUCUUUUUACGACCCUGGUUUAUCCUUUCCCUAAAGUAAAGAGCUCACAACUACUUUGCUGCUUAGAAGGAAUAUGAGAGGAGGGAUAAGGAAAAGAUGAACUAGUAGGAGGAAAAAAAGCAAUAUUUCAAAAAUAUCCUGUCACAUAAAAACUUGUCGAAAUGACAGGCUGGUGGAAUAAUAUUUGCUAAUGUUUAUCAAACACUCUGCACCAUUUUUUAAAGAACUUUACAUGUAUCACCUAAUCUAAUCAUCACAAUAAUAAGUAGGUACCAUUAUUAUUCCGACUUUAAGAUAAGGAAACAGAGAUACAGAGAAGUCAAGUGAUUUAACUAAGUUUUGUUCAGUAGUGUCAGAACUUGUAUUCAAACUCAAGAAGUUUGGGUCUGUAGCCCACUUUCUAAACUACUAUGUCUUGGAGUUCCUGUUGUGGCUCAGCAGUUAAGUUGUCUCUGUGAGGAUGUGGGUUCCAUCCCUGGCAUUGCUCAGUGG
rnacentral:lncRNA from 1 species